rnacentral:rRNA from 1 species
AUGCCAGAAGCAGCGAUGAAGUAUGUAUUUAUGGGGAGGAACACCGGGGGAGAAGGCCCCCUCGACCACAAAGACUGAUGCUCUGGUGCGACAGCGUGUGCAGCAAACAGGAUUUGACACCCUGGUAGUCCACGCAGUAAACGAUGUCUACUUGGAGGUUGCGCCCUUGAGGCGCGGCUUCCGGAGCUAACGCGUUAAGUCGACCGCCUGGGGAGUACGGCCGCAAGGUUAAAACUCAAAUGAAUUGACGGGGGCCCGCACAAGCGGUGGAGCAUGUGGUUUAAUUCGAUGCAACGCGAAGAACCUUACCUACUCUUGACAUCCAGAGAACUUUCCAGAGAUGGAUUGGUGCCUUCGGGAACUCUGAGACAGGUGCUGCAUGGCUGUCGUCAGCUCGUGUUGUGAAAUGUUGGGUUAAGUCCCGCAACGAGCGCAACCCUUAUCCUUUGUUGCCAGCGGUCCGGCCGGGAACUCAAAGGAGACUGCCAGUGAUAAACUGGAGGAAGGUGGGGAUGACGUCAAGUCAUCAUGGCCCUUACGAGUAGGGCUACACACGUGCUACAAUGGCGCAUACAAAGAGAAGCGACCUCGCGAGAGCAAGCGGACCUCAUAAAGUGCGUCGUAGUCCGGAUUGGAGUCUGCAACUCGACUCCAUGAAGUCGGAAUCGCUAGUAAUCGUAGAUCAGAAUGCUACGGUGAAUACGUUCCCGGGCCUUGUACACACCGCCCGUCACACCAUGGGAGUGGGUUGCAAAAGAAGUAGGUAGCUUAACCUUCGGGAGGGCGCUACCACUUA